rnacentral:lncRNA from 1 species
AUGCCAGUGGAGUUGGUCACUUUUCAUACGCUUUGGCCAUUCUGUUCCUCCCCUUUCUCCGUUCUCUCUUUGAGGACAUGCUCUGAGUCCAAAAGGGGUUCGUGGAGACAGGAUGGGUGCCUGUCCCUUUUUCUCCAAGAAGCGGUGUGCGCGUUUGUUCGGUCGUGCUUCAGGAAGACAGGCAGCAAGUCCGCCGUAAAAGGGACGUCUUUGAAAGCAUGCAAGAGGAAGAUGCCAAGAACUAUUGUGAGAAAACCACUUAGGGUGCCAAUGAUGUUCAUUAAGACCAGGUGCUGCCACUCCUUGAACAGAAUGGCAGAGCAUGUUAUAACAGCUGUGGUGAAGAGGACAUAAUAGAUGGGUGUGACCAGAGAGGUAUUGAAGAUAUCCAAGGCCUUGUUGAGGUAGUUAAUCUGGAUGCUGAUGCAAAUCACAAGGCCGACCAAAAGCAUCCAGCCCAAGGGUUCUUUCCAGAUAGGUUUCCCAGCGAACAGCUCUUUCAGGGCAAUGCCCAAGCCUUUGACGCAGGAGACGGAGAGCGAACCGAUGGCUGAGCAGACCAGAACAUACACCAGGACAUUGCUCUGCCCGUAGCGAGGUCCAGCCACAAAGAUGAGAAGGAUGGGGCGAGAAAGCUGCUUCUAAAACAAGGGGGUCUCUCCAUGACUCAGAACACCGCUCUAUGGGCAUGGACAGAGUUGGGGAAUGUGAGCUACAGCCGUUCUUACAGACGAACGGCAGGGAAUAAGGCAGAUGAAAAGUGCAAUAAGCGUAUGUCACCUAUUGAACCAAAACCAAUAGCUGAUCCCUAAAAGGAAGAGCAGGUGUCCCAAACAGCUAAGUAGUCUGACCUAUAAGGAACUACUUCAACUCAAGCAUAUUUUAAAUAAUAUAUUACAUCUGCAACACUUAUGGCUGUAGGUUCUGUAUAAGCAUAUACAAAAAGUAAUAUUUAUCUUAGAUAACAUGUAAACAUUAACAUAUUUAAAAACAUUAACCUUAAGGCCAUAUAAGUGCAGUGCCCUUACAUUCAGAGACCAGUAGGACACCUUUAUUGCCAAAAUCAGGUGCAUAGACAGAACAACAGCUUUGUUGCUGUAAGGCAAACUUGCAUCUUGUGCCUUAACGGUUAUUUCAGGGGAAAGUUCUUGUGAUUCCAGCAAAACUGCUGUGCAUUCUUCUGGACAUACGUGCUUAAAGUCAGCUUGGACCUCAUUCCUACGUUGAUGAACUGAACUCCUUCCUAUCAUCCAAACAGACAUCUGUGUUUCUUAAAAGGAUCCAAAACCCACCAAGAGAAACCAUGCUUUCCUAUCUGUUCACGUUUAUCAGCUCUGAUACACAACAAUGCCAAGAGAGAAAUAAAAUGCUUAAUUUUCCCUCUGGCA